ensembl:lncRNA
GUUUUGUUCAUGAUAAUCAGGAAGCACUGCUGUCAGCUGGAAAACAACAGAGGAAAAACUCCUGGGAUUGCUGUGAGCUGCCAGUAAGCUAAAGCUGCGUGAGAGGCACACACAGCUGAAAUGCACGUAUGGUGUUCUGAACCUCAGAGUAAAGUGUGGAACAAUGGGUAUUUCAAUAUACCUUUACGUCUAUUACGGGACUGCUGAGGUGAGAAUUUUCCCUACCUUUGGCUGUGAUCCCAUUUGGGCAGUUCCAUUUGAAGGUCUCACCUAAACACAAAACACAUACAGAAUAUUUUGGCCAAAUAUAAUUUGUAUUAAAAAGC